GACGAACGCUGGCGGCGUGCUUAACACACGCAAGUCGAACGGAAAGGCCCUGCUUGCAGGGUGCUCGAGUGGCGAACGGGUGAGUAACACGUGGGUGAUCUGCCCCUUACUUUGGGAUAAGCCUGGGAAACUGGGUCUAAUACUGGAUAGGACCAUGCUGUAGGUGGUGUGGUGGAAAGAUUAGUUUCGGUAAGGGAUGAGCUCGCGGCCUAUCAGCUUGUUGGUGGGGUAAUGGCCUACCAAGGCGUCGACGGGUAGCCGGCCUGAGAGGGUGGACGGCCACAUUGGGACUGAGAUACGGCCCAGACUCCUACGGGAGGCAGCAGUGGGGAAUAUUGCACAAUGGGCGCAAGCCUGAUGCAGCGACGCCGCGUGGGGGAUGACGGCCUUCGGGUUGUAAACUCCUUUCAGCCAUGACGAAGCCCUUGUGGUGACGGUAGUGGUAGAAGAAGCACCGGCUAACUACGUG
rnacentral:rRNA from 1 species